ensembl:lncRNA
GUCCCGUCCUGACCCCAAGACACUGAGGCCUCUGUCUGAACCAGGCUCAUGAGUUUCUUCCUAGCCUCUCUCAGGAACCGGAGUACUUCUGGUAAAGAAGUUUGCGGUCUUUCAUGGAACUUCCAUUUACCAACCUGGAAAUGGCAUUCAUUUUACUAGCUUUUGUUAUAUUUUCCUUCUUUACCCUGGCUUCCAUCUACACUAAUCCCAAUGAGAGGAAUGAAGAGGAAGAACACCAAAUAAAGGAAAAGAAAAGAAAAAAGUCUGGAAAGAAGAAGAGAGAUGCCACCCCUGAUCCCACAACCACAGAUAUUUCCAAAUGAGGAUGUGGAGGAAAUGACUUGUGGGAGCCACUUAUCCACAGAAAAGAAGAUGAAGGGAAAAUCAAGGAAAUUAAAAGAUGCACUUACUGUUAGACUCGACGGUCUCAUAACCUUUAAUGAACUGAAUACUGGGAAAAGAAUUCUGUAACAUCUUUGUGACUCAGCUUCAUUAAAAAAUAUUUGUUAUGCUUAUUAAGAGCAAUACAUCAUGCUAGGGGCAGCAAAUUAUACAAAGAAAUAUAUCCAAAGUGGAAACAGUAAUAUCAUAGUACAAAGGGCCAGAAGAGCCCAAACAUUUAAAAUCUGCUAAGAAAAUGAAAAAAUAUAAAUUAAAAAAAGAAAGAAAGAAACUUAAGACUCAUACAGUAAUCAAUAGACCUUAAUUCUCCUAACACAUGGUGGUGAAAAACUAUAAUUGACAGUAAUAUUGUUUCCAUAUCUGAUAUAAACAUGAAAGAUAAGGAACACUAUGCAUUUUAUAGCCUUAAGGCAGAACAUUUGAAGUGUUUACAUAAAAUGGAAAUAUUGUCAUUGCUUUUG